CCGUAAACGAUGUCGACUUGGAGGUUGUUCCCUUGAGGAGUGGCUUCCGGAGCUAACGCGUUAAGUCGACCGCCUGGGGAGUACGGCCGCAAGGUUAAAACUCAAAUGAAUUGACGGGGGCCCGCACAAGCGGUGGAGCAUGUGGUUUAAUUCGAUGCAACGCGAAGAACCUUACCUACUCUUGACAUCCAGCGAACUUAGCAGAGAUGCUUUGGUGCCUUCGGGAACGCUGAGACAGGUGCUGCAUGGCUGUCGUCAGCUCGUGUUGUGAAAUGUUGGGUUAAGUCCCGCAACGAGCGCAACCCUUAUCCUUUGUUGCCAGCGAUUCGGUCGGGAACUCAAAGGAGACUGCCGGUGAUAAACCGGAGGAAGGUGGGGAUGACGUCAAGUCAUCAUGGCCCUUACGAGUAGGGCUACACACGUGCUACAAUGGCGCAUACAAAGAGAAGCGACCUCGCGAGAGCAAGCGGACCUCACAAAGUGCGUCGUAGUCCGGAUCGGAGUCUGCAACUCGACUCCGUGAAGUCGGAAUCGCUAGUAAUCGUGGAUCAGAAUGCCACGGUGAAUACGUUCCCGGGCCUUGUACACACCGCCCGUCACACCAUGGGAGUGGGUUGCAAAAGAAGUAGGUAGCUUAACCUUCGGGAGGGCGCUUACCACUUUGUGAUUCAUGACUGGGGUGAAGUCGUAACAAGGUAACCGUAGGGGAACCUGC
rnacentral:rRNA from 1 species